rnacentral:tRNA from 5 species
UAGUUCAGUUGGUUAGAAUACCGGCCUGUCACGCCGGGGGUCGCGGGUUCGAGUCCCGU